UUGAAGCUUGCUUCAAUCGCCGGCGACCGGCGCACGGGUGAGUAACGCGUAUCCAACCUUCCGUACACUCAGGGAUAGCCUUUCGAAAGAAAGAUUAAUACCUGAUGGUAUGAUGAGAUUGCAUGAUAGCAUCAUUAAAGAUUUAUUGGUGUACGAUGGGGAUGCGUUCCAUUAGGUAGUAGGCGGGGUAACGGCCCACCAAAGCGACGAUCGGUAGCCGGACUGAGAGGUUGAACGGCCACAUUGGGACUGAGACACGGCCCAGACUCC
rnacentral:rRNA from 1 species